AAUCUCAACUUGUUUUAUUUCGUUCUUAAGCUUUAAUUAACCCUUUUCACUUUCUCUCCCUUAAUACUCUCUCUCUCUCCUCUCAUCAUUUAUAAAUAGGCCUAGAUCAUAUCCUUCAAAGAAUUCUCUUCCCCUCUUCGGGUUUUCUUUUGACGAGAGAAGAGAGAAGCCGCACUCCUUUCAAUCGCGUAUGAUUUCCGAACAAAACCCAUUUGAGGUCUGAAGAGAAAAAAAGAAAAAAACAAUAUAUAUAGAGAGAGAAGCAAGAACCAAACACACAGAGAGAGAGAGAGAGAGAGAGGCACCCCACGACAGGGAGAUUGAGAAAUAAGAACAGCUCUUGAAAUCGGUUUUGAUUUUUGAGAUCUUGUCCUCCUACAAUGUCUUCUUUGUAGCGGACAAGGUAAAUAAACGUAAAAAUUAAUAAAGUUUUUAUCAUCAUAAGUCUUCUCUCUUCCCUUUCUCCUCCUUGCAAAUCUCUAAUUAUUUUGAUAUUAACGCUCUCAAUCGAGCUUCUGCAACUCGUCUUCUGUUUCGAUGGAAGCUGAGAAGAAAGGGGAGAGAGAAUAACAGUUUGUUUGUUGUAUUUAUUUUUUUUGUGGGUUUGACAUAGUUGUUUUUUAAUUCUUUUUUGAAGAAUUUAAGAUUAGGGUUUUUCUUACUUGGGGUGCGAUUGGCGUGUUUCUGCUGGUGGAUUUUUCUGUGGUCGGAUCGUCAGUCGGGACGGCUCUAAUUUUGUGGGGUUCGACUGUUAGGGUUACGAUCAGAAUACAGGUGGGCGGAAUAAGGAGGGGAGUAUUGGAUUAUUGAGGUGGUGUCGUUCAGUGUUAAGUCAAGAUCGAGAAGCGUUAUAUUAUGGGUGCAAGCUUGGAUUUUGUUACGAGUUGGCUUUGUGGACUCAGCUCUUCUGGUUUUGUGUUUAAUGACGUUUUAGAACGGUGAAUCUGCAGUAGGCGAUGGUGGAAGAUUGUUCUUUUGGACAUGGAAGAAGAUUGCAUUUUAGAAUUUGUAAAGAUGGUGAUGCAGAAUUAAGUAUUUCAUUGAUUGAAAGGUUUGGGUGCUUGUAUCUUGUGCUCUCCGAGUAGUUGAUCUGCUGUGCUGGGAGAUGCCCUUGACAUUGGUUUUCUCUGAUAAGGUACAGGUGGUGGUUUUUUAUUGUCCCAUAAGGGGAAGCAUAGGAUCGGAUUGCAGUGGAUCUUAUUCGUUCCUCAAGAAGCCGUUCGGAUUGACUUAGCUUGAUGUAUUCUCUAGCUUAGAUGCUAUCUUAUUAUCCAGUUGUUUUUUCUCUGUCUGGCAUGAGAUAAGCUAGUUCACUGUCUGGAUACAGUAGAUUUGUUUUUUUUUCCUGGUAUUUUCCUUAUUGGGCACCAGUCAAGCUAGUUCACUGAUCCCUUGCAGUAGAUGAUCGGUUGAAUUCAUUUAGUUUUGCUUUGCGUGGAAUUUAGACUUAUCUUCUCCAUCCCCGGUUCCAUUUCUGGCAAGAGAAGAAUUUGGGAAAUUUUGGGGCUGAGAGUAUCAUGGGGCGUUAUUGAACCUGGAAAUGAGUGCGGGGACAUGGUGCAUGGACAGGAGCGCUGCUGCUGGUCCGUUCCCUUCUUGGAACAACAGUAYUGGAAACUAAGUCGCGCUUUUUUGUUGGUAGAAGGAGCCCAAGUUGCUAAUUCUGGGAUUCCGUGCAAUGUCUCGCUGCUUUCCAUUUCCGCCACCAGGAUAUGAAAAGAAGGCUAGGACUGAUGAUGCCGACGUACUGACAAAGGAAAAGCACAAGGAGAAGAAGCAUAAAAAGGAGAAAAAGGACAAAGAAAAGAAAGAAGGAAAGGAGAAGAAGGACAAGGAGAAGGACAAGGAGAGAAGCAAAGAUAAACAUAGGGAGAAGAAAGACCGAAAGGAGAAGCACAAAGAUAAGAAGGACAAGGAAAGGGAGAAAGAUAAACACAAGACCUUGGACGACAAGAGAAAUGAAGGGCGACCUGAGGGGCAUAAUGCUGAGAAACUUGGUCAGAACAUUCAGUGUGCUGAGGAAAUCAAGGAUUCUAAAUUUGUUCAGGAGUUGGACAGGAGGAUUAGAGAUGAAGAAAAGGGGACAGGAAAUCAAAUGGUUGAGAACUUCACAGGUACAGGUCAUAGGAAAGCUGAGAUUAUGUCCAGACUGGUCGAAAAGAGUAUGGAAUAUAGGGUUCAAGGAAAAGAAAAGAAUAAGGACAAGAAAGGUGAUGAUAGAAGAACAGAUGGGCAAAGGAACAAAGAUGAGGAAAAAGGCAUGGGAAAUGCUAUGCUUCAGAGCUCCACCAGAAUGGACCAAAGAAGAGUUGAAGAAGUGGUUCGACCAAUGGAGAAGGAUACUGAGAAGAGGGUGGAAGGGAAAGAAAAAAAUAAAGACAAGGAAGGUAAUGAUAGACGGAAGGAUAAGCACAAGGAGAAAGAUCGAGAGAAGAAAAGUAAAGGAAAGAAUAAAGAGAAGGAAAAAGAAAAGGAGAAAGGAAAGGACAAGAACGAGCACAGACUUAAUGAGCAGGAUAAGUCCAGGGAGAGUAGCAAGAAAGACCCUGUAGUUACUCCAAAUGUCAAAACCUUACACCUUCCCAAGGACAAUGAAAAAAGUGCUGCUACAGAUGGGAACCUCAAGAAAAGAAAAGACUUUGAGAUGAAUGGAUUUUUACAUGACAAUGAAAUUCAGCCUAAUAAGUUGCCAAGACCCAGCUCUUCCUCUCACCCAUUCCCGGAGAAUGGAAGGAAAUUAGAAACAUGCCGAACUGCUAUCCAGUUUUCUUCAGAUAGGCAGGGUGCAGCCAAUAACCAUAAGGUGGAUGAUAAGGAACACAAGGUUAAUGGUAUAAUACAAGAUCGACCUAUUCCCACUUUCUCAGCAAAGCCUUCUUUCACCACAGUAAAAGCUAAUGGGAAUGGUGAAGCACCUGCAAAACCACCACAUCGUGAUUUGAAGUAUCUAAGCCAGAUACUGACAGUACCUAAAAUGGAGGAAUGGUCUGAUUUUGAUGACCAAGAAUGGCUAUUCAGUAGUGAUAACCUCCGACUGGAGAAGUGCAAGCAGCAAUCCUCGGGGGUUGAUGAGACAACACAAGUGUGGGGUGAAGCUUUGCAGAUAGAGUCGGCUGAUGUUUGUGCACUGCCAUAUGUCAUUCCAUACUGAUUGAUAUUCAGUGGACUUGACGUUCUUGCCAUUUCCAUCUCAACACUGCAGGGGCCAGGAAAGACCCUUUGUGAAGGGUAUGGCAGCUUCUGGGUCUUGAGGUUGUCAGUUUCUCAUACUGCAUUAUCCAGUUGUUAAGACGCCCUGUUCUUUCAGAUUACCCUUCACUUGCUCCAUGCGUUGGUGCAUCUUUACAGGAGUUGGAUUAGAGGGUUUUUGGUUUCCCCUUCUGUUGAGUACUAAUCAAUCAGAGCCAUCAUAGGUGUAUCAGAAGAGACAUGCCAUGUACUCCAAAUCAAUAUGUCAGGCUAACAGAAAGAAAAGGGAAAUGUGGUUUGGAAAGAUGGCUUAACUUGUGCGAUUAUUUUCCAUUUGUUUUUUGAAGCUUAAAAGCUCUUCUAAUUGAGAGAAGCUUGGAGUGGUCUUUGCUACGCCACCACAAUUUUGAUUUUGUAACAUAAGUCUUAUUUACAUGAAAUGUACAAUAGAGGGAAAAGAGAAAGCAAGAGGUAUUCCCAUUCAUUUAUCCUUUAGUUCUCUUGUAAGCAUUUAUUGAUCUAUUUUCUUCUCAAUUUUGCCCCAUGAAUUAUGAUUA